rnacentral:rRNA from 1 species
UCGGGAAUUUUGGGCAAUGGGCGAAAGCCUGACCCAGCAACGCCGCGUGAGGGAUGAAGUAUUUCGGUAUGUAAACCUCGAAAGAAUGGGAAGAAUAAAUGACGGUACCAUUUAUAAGCUCCGGCUAACUACGUGCCAGCAGCCGCGGUAAUACGUGGGGAGCAAGCGUUGUUCGGAUUUACUGGGCGUAAAGGGCGCGUAGGCGGCGCGGUAAGUCACUUGUGAAAUCUCUGAGCUUAACUCAGAACGGCCAAGUGAUACUGCUGUGCUAGAGUGCGGAAGAGGCAACCGGAAUUCUUGGUGUAGCGGUGAAAUGCGUAGAUAUCAAGAGGAACACCUGAGGCGAAGGCGGGUUGCUGGGCCGACACUGACGCUGAUGCGCGAAAGCCAGGGGAGCAAACG